UACGUAGGGUGCAGGCGUUAAUCGGAAUUACUGGGCGUAAAGCGUGCGCAGGCGGUCUGUUAAGAGAGAUGUGAAAUCCCCGGGCUUAACCUGGGAACUGCGUUUCUAACUGGCAGGCUAGAGUGUGGCAGAGGGGGGUGGAAUUCCACGUGUAGCAGUGAAAUGCGUAGAGAUGUGGAGGAACACCGAUGGCGAAGGCAGCCCCCUGGGCUAACACUGACGCUCAUGCACGAAAGCGUGGGGAGCAAACAGG
rnacentral:rRNA from 1 species